rnacentral:rRNA from 1 species
UUCCGACCUCAAUUUAGGCGAGAUUACCCGCUGAACUUAAGCAUAUCAGUAAGCGGAGGAAAAGAAACUAACAAGGAUUUCUCCAGUAGCGGCGAGCGACUGGGAAUUAGCCCAACACCGAAUCCUGUGCCGUUUCGGCAUUAGGAGUUGUGGUGAAUAGGUUAGUGUCAUUGGCAAUGGAGACAGCUCUAAAUCUGCUUGAGUGCAGUGUUUGUCCAUAGAGGGUGUUAGGCCCGUUAGGGUUGUUGAAAUUGUCAUUGAUGCUUUCCAAUGAGUAGGAUUGCUUGGGAAUGCAGUCCAAAUUGGGUGGUAGAUUCCAUCUAAGGCUAAAUAUUUGUCUGAGUCCGAUAGCAAACAAGUACCGUGAGGGAAAGUUGAAAAGAACUUUGAAGAGAGAGUUAAAUAGUACGUGAAAUUGCUUAGAGGUAAACGAGUAGAGCCGAAGGUUGGUGCUUGGAAUUCAACUAUUUGUUCAUUGCCGAGUGUUGAUUUGGACCCGUUAAAAGGCUAAGUUAGCAUUUGUGUUGGUGGAUGGAUAGUGCACUUUCUUUGUACCAAAUAUGCGUCCAAUAGCACCGCUCCUCUGUCAUAGGAAUGAAGAUGAUGUGUUCUUCGGAAUACGUUUUACAGCAUCCUAUAUGGUUGAGCGUCGUAUUGUUGACAGCGAUCAGUCAACUGUUUGGUAUUAGCUAUUGUUGUUAUUGUGAUUGUUGACUCAAAUUGAGACCUCAGUUGCAGUACGGCUAUGGUUAGUGCUGAAUUGAGCUGGUCUAAAGUCGCGCAUGGUUUAUGUAGGCAGUCUACUUGUCCCGUCUUGAAACACGGACCAAGGAGUUUUAUAUGUUUGCAAGUCAAAGGGCCUUACGAAACCCCACGGCGUAAUGAAAGUAAAGUUUCACUUUAGUGAAAUGAGAUGUGAUCCUGUAUUAACCAUAUGCAGGCGCAACAUCGACCUGUCCGCUGAUGUUCGCAUCUGGGCAGAGUUUGAGCAAACAUGUAGAGACCCGAAAGAUGGUGAACUAUGCUUGUGCAGGUUGAAGUCAGAGGAAACUCUGAUGGAAGACCGAAGCAGUUCUGACGUGCAAAUCGAUUGUCAGACACGAGUAUAGGGGCGAAAGACUAAUCGAACCAUCUAGUAGCUGGUUCCCUCCGAAGUUUCCCUCAGGAUAGCUGGCGCUCAUUCUAGUAGUUGCAUCCGGUAAAGCGAAUGAUUAGAAGUAUUGGGAGCGCAAUGUUCUCAACUUAUUCUCAAACUUUAAAUGGGUGUGAAGUACAGCUCGCUUCAUUGGAGUUGUGCGGUUAAUAUGAGUGCUUAGUGGGCCAUUUUUGGUAAGCAGAACUGGCGAUGUGGGAUGAACCAAACAUCUAGUUAAGGUGCCUAAUGUCACGCUCAUGAGAUACCACAAAAGGCGUUGGUUGAUAAUGACAGCAGGACGGUGGACAUGGAAGUUGUCAUCCGCUAAGGAGUGUGUAACAACUCACCUGCCGAAUCAACCAGCCCUGAAAAUGUAUGGCGCUGUAGCGUGAAACCUAUACUGGAUCGGCAUGGUAAGCGAAAGCGAGUACGCCAUGUCGUGUAGGAGGGUGCCGUGGUUGCGUCGAAGCCUUGGGCGUGAGCCUGGGUGGAGCGGCUACGGGUACAGAUCUUGGUAGUAGUAGCAAUUAUUCAAGUGAGAACCUUGAAGACUGAAGUGGAGAAGGGUUCCAUGUGAACAGUAUUUGGACAUGGGUUAGUCGGUCCUAAGCUAACUGGUAACUCAGUUAUCAGAUGAAGGUGAGAGACAGAGUUUUACUUUGUUCAUUUAGUUCGUUGCGCCUUCAUGAGCGAAAGGGAACCAGGUUAAUAUUCCUGGACUCGAACACGGAAAUUUAGUUGCCUUAUGGUAACAAAGGUGGUAACACAAGCGAUCUCAGAGACGUCACCGGUAGUUUCGGGAAGAGUUAUCUUUUCUUUGUAUACAUAUACUCGUCCCUAGAAGCAGGUCAUCUGGAGAAAGGGAUGGGCAAUGUUAAAAGCAUCACGGUUCUGGUGAUGUCCGAAGCGCUCUCGGUGGCCCUUGAAAAUCUGAGGGAGCAAUUAUAAAUUUCGUGUCGAUCCGUACCUAUAUCCGCAUCAGGUCUCCUAGGUGAACAGCCUAUAGUCUUAGAACAAUGUAGGUUAAGGAAGUCGGCAAAUUAGAUUCGUACCUUCGGAAAAAGAAUUGGCUCUAGGGAUUGGGUGCAAUGGGCUUGUUCAAGAAGUCAUUGAAAUCGGGUUUGGGCUGUUGUGAGCAAGUGCUGCUGCCUGUUUGCGUUCGCGUUUAAUGGGUGGUGACAUGAGUUUGCGAUGGAACGAAUUUGGUUUUGGUGAUCGGCGGGGCUUGCUAUGGUUGUGGGUUUUCGGACUCAUAACCGUCAUUGUACAGUUAACAAUCAACCUAGAACUGGCAUUGUCUAGAUUAAUCCGACUGUCUAAUUAAAACAAAGCAUUACGACGGCUGGAAACCGGCUUUGACGUAAU